AUUGAACGCUGGCGGCAGGCCUAACACAUGCAAGUCGAACGAGUGGCGGACGGGUGAGUAAUGUCUGGGAAACUGCCUGAUGGAGGGGGAUAACUACUGGAAACGGUAGCUAAUACCGCAUACCAUCAGAUGUUCCCAGAUGGGAUUAGCGAGUGGGUGGGGUAACGGCUCACCAAGGCGACGAUCCCUAGCUGGUCUGCGAGGAUGACCAGCCACACUGGAACUGAGACACGGGCCAUACUCCGACGGGAGGCAGCAGUGGGGAAUAUUGCACAAUGGGCGAAAGCCUGAUGCAGCCAUGCCGCGUGUAUGAAGAAGGCCUUCGGGUUGUAAAGUACUUUCAGCGGGGAGGCGUUACCCACAGAAGAAGCACCGGCUAACUCCGUGCCAGCCGCCGCGGUAAUAC
rnacentral:rRNA from 1 species